UACGUAGGGUGCAAGCGUUUAAUCGGAAUUACUGGGCGUAAAGCGUGCGCAGGCGGCUUUGCAAGACAGAUGUGAAAUCCCCGGGCUUAACCUGGGAACGGCCGUUGAAACUGGCGAACUGGAGUGUGGCAGAGGGGGGGUGGAAUUCCGCGUGUAGCAGUGAAAUGCGUAGAGAUGCGGAGGAACACCGAUGGCGAAGGCAGCCCCCUGGGCUAACACUGACGCUCAGGCACGAAAGCGUGGGGAGCAAACAGG
rnacentral:rRNA from 1 species